UAUUCUCUGCUUUGAUAAAGGAAGCAUAUCAGACAAUGUACUCUAUGAAAGAUAUGAUCAGUCAACACGGUAAAUUUUGCAUUAUUCAACGAAAAAUGCUUUAAAGCGUGGAACAAAUGUGGCAGAGCUAUACCGUUUCAGGAUUUGGAUCAAGUAUUCUGGAGAUCAGCUUCUUUUGGCUUUCUGUAAACCACUUUGGAAAUGUGUAAUCUGCUCUGCAAAUCUAUCCAUGGGCAGAAGUUUCAGAUACAGAUUACCAGCAAGUAAUUCAAAAAGAAUCACUCCACAAGACCAAACAUCUGCAGCUGCUCCGUCGUAGACCUUAUUGACAAGCAGCUGUUCAUGAAUAAUGAAGGCGAUCAACCACAUAACGAAGUGAAAUUCAGGAGCAACAUAACUUGGAGAUCCACAUUUUGUUGACAACAGGUCACCAGGCUGUUGAUCAUCAGAAUUUCAGCAAAGCACCAAUUUUUAUUGUCAGAUUUUAGGACUUGUAAAUAAAUAAUGGCUCAAGAACAUAAGGAAUUUGCAAAAUUGUCUCUACCUUACGCAAUGCACUUAGUCCAAAAUCGGAUAUCUUCAGGCUCCCCUUACCGCACAAAAGCAAGUUUUCUGGCUGUAUAAUAUGCCAUAGUCCUUGUCAGUUCCUGGUCCUCCCCUGUGGGGAAUUUUCGCAAAAUGAUGCGUAUGGUUGUGUUUUAGUUUUUACUCACCUUUAGAUCUCUGUGAUAUACACCUUUGUUGUGACAGUAGUCCACUGCAUCAAUCAAUUGCUGAAAAAGCUUUCUUGCCUCUCCUUCACUAAAUCUUUUGGCAUACGACUUUUUUUAAAUAAAUAAAAAAACAAAAGAAAUUCAAAUUACUAUACAUAUGAAAA